AACGUAGGUGGCGAGCGUUAUCCGGAUUUACUGGGCGUAAAGCGUGCGCAGGCGGUUGAUGUAAGAACCAGGAUGGUGAAAUCCCCGGGCUUGCAACCUGGGAACUGACAUUUGUGACUGCAUCGCUGGAGUGCGGCAGAGGAGAACUGGAAUUCCUGGUGUAGCAGUGAAAUGCGUAGAUAUCAGGAGGAAUACCGAUGGCGAAGGCAGGUCUCUGGGCUGGACAACUGACGCUCGAUGACACGAAAGCCGUGGGGAGCAAACAGG
rnacentral:rRNA from 1 species